UACGUAGGUGGCAAGCGUUGUCCGGAAUUAUUGGGCGUAAAGCGCGCGCAGGCGGUUUCUUAAGUCUGAUGUGAAAGCCCACGGCUCAACCGUGGAGGGUCAUUGGAAACUGGGGAACUUGAGUGCAGGAGAGAAGAGUGGAAUUCCACGUGUAGCGGUGAAAUGCGUAGAGAUGUGGAGGAACACCAGUGGCGAAGGCGACUCUUUGGCCUGUAACUGACACUGAGGCGCGAAAGCGUGGGGAGCGAACAGG
rnacentral:rRNA from 1 species